UACAAACAAAUUAUCGUCGAAUUGUACCGUAGCAAAGACGUCGACGUGACAUUGGCCUUACGUCUGUGGAUUCCCUCCGAUGACGCUCUUCCCCAGCCGUAUAAAAGCCAGCAGCUUGUCGUCUCGACCAUAAACAAAUCAACUCUCAAAGCAACAACAUAGUGAUAUAAGUGAUAUAAAAAAAUACGUGAAGUGAAAAUGUACACAAAUCCGUUCAAUCGCACACACUGCACCAUCCGUCAGAUCAUUGACAAAUUCCUGCACGUGGAUAAUGGCAGCAGGAGUUACAAGAACUCGCUAAAGAGGAGCACGAGCAAUUGCUCGGAUACUUCGUACAGUUCGUGCUCGUCGAAGAAGUCAUCGAGCUCGACCGGAAGUAUCAAAACGCCCAGUUUCCACAGAAAAUACGGAGUGACCAAAUGAAAAGUCUCUGAAUGAGUUUUUUGGAAUUUUUGAUCAAAAGCUUGAGGCAGCGAGAUAAAGAGUUGGCUUCUUGGAAAGAUCUGCUCAUUCUGCUACUGAUGCACACAUAGACCAAAAAAGGCUGAAGAUUCAUCUACUAGACUGCAAAAUUCUUAUUUAUUCUCCUAAUUUAUUUUAUUUAUUUAUCUUCAAAUAUAAUAAAUAUAAUAAAAUAUAA